AGGAUAUUGGACAAUUCUUGCAAUUCUUCAUAGUUGUGGAGAGAGGAGAGCAAUGAUACACGACGUGACUUCUGUGAAUUUACAUCCAUGGACUUGCUGGUAGAGGGGUGCAUUACUUUUAUCGGUCUGGACCAAUUCUUCAGGACAUCAACUUCUAUCUUCUUCCAGUUGGUUUUCUUGUUUUUGCUUUUCUUCUUCCCCAUUAUUAUGGCAGAUGCACACUGACCUUUUCUGUUUGGAUUAAAAUUCCAGUGGCUUGGACGAGAUAGAACUUACAUAAGUGCAACUGUAUUCACCACUAUAUUUCUAUCUUUGAUCUUGGUGAGUUUGUUUCUCUAUACCUUUCUUAUUUUUUUAAUCUUUUUUCUAGGCAAGAUUAUAAGUGAAACUGGAUUCUUUCUUUCAUUACUGUAUAUAAGCCCUUGAAAAUUAAGUUUAUAAAAGCACACUUACAUUUGUUUUAAGCUAACUGUGAUGCCAGGCUGCUUUGGACUUAAGAAACAGGGAAAGCCUGAAUAUUAGCUUUAAUUAUGCUAAUCUGUUAUGGUCGACUAGAUAUUCCUUUAACCUGAAAGGGAUCUUCUGGAUGUGUGGUAGUCUAAAGCUAUGCUGCAGUGGACCUUACAACCUUUUAUUUUCAAGACCAAAAAGAUGUGUGCAGUUCUGAUAUGGUGAUUUUCACAAGACGUCAUGAGUUUUACACACCAAACUGGAGUUUUUUUUUUUCUUGGGACCUAUUGGUUGGGUGAAAAAAGAAGAGCAGUAGCACCAGAUGCGCAUCAUUGAGAUCAAAGAACAAAUUAAAGAUGAUACACCGUGCCCCCAAAAAACAGACAAUGAAGCCUUUUCCAGUACAUUUGAGGACAUGUUGAACAAAUCUUCACUUAAAAAUGAGUUAAUUCCAGACAUAAAAAUCAUGGGUGACAGUCCUCGAGGAAUAGAGAUAUUUGAAGAUCAUUUUCAAGCUUCAACAUCUGGUGAAGACUCCGUGCAGAUCCCAGCUUCAUCUAAAUAUGUAGGAAGUAAUGAUUCUUUAAGAAUAGAUCCAUUAGUAGAUCUUGGACUAGAAGAAAAUUGAAAGGUGCUGCUUCGACGUUGAAGUUGUUUAGCCCCAGCAAGCUAACUUGGAUGUCUGGCAUAGAUGGUCAAGAAAAGGUAGUGUUAACUGCUGCAGAAGUAGAAUCUCUUCGAUCAGAAAUCCCUGCUUUGGAAGAAAGAAAAGCUCAUUUCAAAACUCAGGUUAUGUGAUUCCUUUGAUCCUAACGUUCCAUUCUAACACAGCUUCCUGGUCCGUACUAUCACUGUUGUGAGGUUUGAUCUUUACCUUAUUAAAAAAAAAAGCUACUUUUUUCAUUCAAUUGAUGUUUUUUUAGUUUUUGUUUUGAUAUCUGUCAGAUGUGCCUCAGAUUAUUAUUAUUUUUUGGCGAAGCCUCAACUACUUUGUUUCCCUGCAAAAUAACCAGGGUUCAAAGCUUGCCCCAUUUUCUCCUCCCGACAAUAUUUUACAAGUGCUAUUGAUUGGUAAGUUGCAAUCGCCUUUGCUCCUUCUGGCGUUUAAACCAGAAGGUGCAAAUAUAAACUUUUUGCUGACGGAUUUUUUUAUUUUUAAAUCAUUUAGUUUAUUUUUUUAUUUAAAAAAAUACCACAUGGCUUUAAAAAAAAAAGUCUACCCAUUUUUUUGAGUAGAUAUAUUUUUUUUAAAGCCACAUGAUAAUUUUUUUUUCCUGGUGGGUCGGGUUUGAUUCGUUUAAAAAAAUGGGUAGAUUUAUAUUUUUUUAAAGCCACGGAGAUAUUCUUUUACACGAAUCAGACCCGAUCCACCAGAAAAAAAAUUACAAUGUGCCGUUAGAAAAAUAUAUCUACUAAAAAAACGAGUAGACUUUUUUUUUAAAGCCACAUGACAUUUUUUUAAUUAAAAAAUUAGCUAAAUGAUUUUUUUUUUUAAAUCCCGUUAGUGAAAAGGAUAUAUUUGCACUAUUUGUGUAAGUGCAGGAUAUAUUUGCACCAUUUUGUAAGGACAAGGGUAUAUAUACAUCACUUUUUUACGAGGGUUAUAUCUGCUCUAAAUCGCAAAGUUGAGGAAUAUAUUUACACCUUUGCUCUAAUAAAAAAGACGUUUGAUUAAUAAACAUUGUUUCUUACAUUAAAUUAUAACAUUACUAUUUAUUCAUAUUUUAUAUUUUUUUGCGCGUACAAGUCCACUAGUUUAUGUAUAAAUUGUAUUACUUUUAAUCGAUACUCGUAUAGAGACAGGUCAAACAUAUUCUAUAAUUAAUCUUAAAACCUUUUUAUGAUGUGUCCUACUGUUGGUUUUCCUAAAAGAACGUGAACAUCUCCUUCCUAUUUUAAUUGAUUUAAACGUGUUGAAUUUCCUCAUACUAGUCUAAGCGUACGCCCGUUGCGCGUGUCCCUUGUACUAAUGAGAAUAAAUUUUUAAAAAUAAUAUUAAAGAAACGUGUUUGAGUUAUAAUAUAAAAAUUAACAAAAUUUGGAAGUUUCAAUAUGAUAAAUGUGAACAUAUUUAUGAUUAGGGUUCAUAAAGAAUCACGAGUCACAAAUUUAUCAUCGAAAGAUAUUACUCUAUUUAGCCUUUCUUUUUGUCCAUUUUUCUCUCUUUUUUACUGUUAUGAAGACAUUAAUUCGCUCAUUUGAUAAUUGUUGUUGAUAUCUUUUGUGUUUCUUUUCACUUGAACUAUAUAUUGCUAAGAUAUUUUUUAAAAGAAUUUAAUUUUUUCACAAUUCAUUACAUGUAAGAUGAAAUAUUAAUAAGGUAAAUUUUCGUUGCAAUUUAAAUUAGAAUACCCGUAAUGGGAGAAUUCUUGUCUUUCUCAUUAUCCUUAAUUUUUCCUUUUUUAAGAUUCUUCCUUAUAAUUUGUUUCCAACUAUGUCUAAACAAUUUAAUGUCAGAAAGAAAAACAACUCCCAAUAUCUCCUUAAUUUUAGGAUUUGGAUAAUUAAAUGUCUAUUACUAAAUAUUAGGGGAAUAAUUAAAUUAAUAUAGUAUAGAUUAAUUUGAGAAAAAAUUUAAACGACAAUUUUGUAUGUUAUAAAGUUUUUUAAUGAAGGACAAAAAACUCGAUCAACAUUUUAAGGCACACAUAAAAUUAACAGAUUUCAAGUUUUCAACAUUACAAAAUAAAGGAGUAAAAAAAGUAAAACCAAAUCAUAGUAGAAAAUUAUCUUUUAUUAGCAAAUAAAACACAUAAAAGAGAACCAAAAUAAACAAAGAAGAGAAACUUUUGUUAUGCGUAUAGCAUUAGCAAACUACAUACCAUGACUAUAUUAUAACCGAUACAACAAUCAAAUAUAACAUUUUAUUAUGUAAACUAAUCGGUUUGAAACUUAUUUGACGUGAUUUUACACUUCUAAAAGUAUCUGUUGUUAAACGAAAUAGCACAAAAAUAAAUAGAAAAUGUAAAUAUUAACAAAUACCACUAUCAAAUAUAAAAUUUAUUAAGUAAACUUAUCGAUUUGGAAGUUGUUAAAAGAAAUAACAAAAGAAAAUAAAUAUUAACAGAUACAACAAUCAAAUAUAAAAUUUAUUACGUAAACUUAUCGUUUGAAACUUACUCUUCGCGACUUUACAUUUCUAAAAAUAUCUGUAUAAAACAAUUAAUAGUCGUUUACUUCGUUCAUAACUAUCUUUCUAAAACAAGGGGUAAAGCUUUCAUAUUGAAAAUUUUUGGUCAACCCUCAGGACAAAAAUAAUAAUUAAUAGCACGAACUAAGAGUUGUGCAUAUUUAGAAAAACCCUUCCUAAAAUCAAGCAGAAAACUAAAAUUUCGUAAGUGGGCAAUCAAGCAAAUUUUAGGGAAGUGAAGAGACCAGUAAAUCAAGCAGAAAAUUAAAAUGAGCAAAUUAUUUAAUCGUUGUAGGAGGAGAACCAAAGAUCUGAGCAAACUGUUCCGGUAUUGACCCUUCCUUCAUUAUCAUGUAGGCUUUGAGAGUAUUCAACAAUUUAUAUGGACAAUAUACUCAUAUGGCUCAUAUCCAUGGGCAUGAGCUUCGGCUGAGGAAUGUAUUACUUAAGGCAUCACUGUAUUUGGUUUCCAAUUUAAACUUUUUCCUCAACUUCUUUAAACCUUUUAGUACUCACAAUCAUAGCAGGAACUCAUGCUCAUUAAUAUUAAAUAAACCUUUUUUCUUUUAUCUUUCAAAAAAGAUGGAGAAGUUUUCAGUUCAGAUGAUGAGAUGAAUUAACAACCUUUAAGUUAUGGAGUUAAGAUAAUUAGCCACCAAAAUCAGAAUCACCAUGUAUUGAUACAAUCAACUGCCAGUGGAAGUGAAAAACCAAGAGAUGGAGGAUCAGGAGAUCGAGGAGGCGGAGGGACAACAAAUUCAAGCACAACUCUUGCCAUCCAGCUUUAUGGAGGAAUUACAACAGACCCAUCAGACAACUGGACAAUGGCUGGGAGAAAACAUCUUAGAACAGAUAGUACAAAAUCAGAGGCGGAGCCAGGAUUCGAAGCUUGUGGGUUCGGGGUUCUAAUUCUUUAAAUUUACUGGGUUCUUAAUUAAUAAUUUAUACAUAUUUGACAAAAAUUUUAAUACAAAUAUAUGGUUCGGACAAAAGCUACUGGGUUCGGUCGAACCCCCACCCGAAGGGCUGGCUCCGCCCCUGUACAAAACAUAACACUGGGGGAAUCUCUAUCUUUGACACUCCACGAAAAUGAGGAAUGACUCUUCCUCGUAACAGUGCCGAAAGAGGUACUGAGAGUGGCACUUACAGGUUGUACCGCCAGACCUUGAUACACAAAUAUGUUGUGCUAAUAUUACCUACACUGAUGGAAUCUGACAUUCCAAUGACAAAGGGAACAUCACAUCCAUUGCUAUCUCACCUCGCGAUGUCACUAGCCCCAGGAGGAAGUUCCACCAUACACUAUGAAUCCCAAAUGAAAGUCUUAUUAUGUAACUGCCGCGGCUGCAAUAGCCCGGAUUUUCAAAGAAAUUUAGAGUUAUUGUUGCAUGGAACAAUCCCACUAUAAUAUGUUUAACCGAAACAAAAAUGACAAACCACUACCCACUCAUGCACGCAGUGGGUUUCACUGACAUGUUUGAUAUAGCUGCAGAGGGUUACUCCGGCGGGGUCGUGUUCAUGUGGAAAAGUGAUGAGCUAAGCAUGGAUCCAGUCGCAGUCACUGACCAAAAAAUACAUGUCAAUGUGCAGGUUCCUCCUAAAAGCGAUGGGGCAGGCACAAGUCAGCCAGAUAUAUCGUGAAGCAAAUGUUGUUGCACAUACCCUAGCUCUAUAUGAAAGAAGAAUGUGCUCAAACAUGAUAGCUAGGGAAGAAGAACAUGUUUUUUGGAACUCUACUUCUCCUUUCAUUUCUUUUACUUUAUGCAAAGACAUCUCUGGAGCAUGUUCCUAGCGAACUGUUCCAUUAUGUAAUAACUCUUUAAUUUCCAGUCCUUAAAUUUGACGCAAA